rnacentral:rRNA from 1 species
AUCUUGACCUCAGAUCAGGCAAGGCUACCCGCUGAAUUUAAGCAUAUUAAUAAGCGGAGGAAAAGAAACUAACAAGGAUUCCCUCAGUAACAGCGAGUGAAGCGGGAACAGCUCAAAUUUGAAAUCUCCGACGCUUGCGUCGGCG